CAGGCUGUUAUGAGCCAUGGACCAGCCCUGCCUUGCCUGGGGGCCCCAGGGUGUCCCCUCUCCCGCCCAGCCACCAGGCGAGGUGGGAGGGCAGAGCUUCUCUCUCCAAAGGCCGGAAGAGCUGAAAUUGCUUAAAUGACAAGUGCUUGAUGAGAUCUUUCCCUUCCCAAAAGAAGUCACGAUCCAGUGCAGGAUUUUAGAGAAGGUCAAGUUGAGCAUGAUAUUUUGACAUAUAGGUCAAGUUGAGCAUGAUAUUGUGACACCUGGAAAAUCAAGUUAUGACUUAAAAACUGAGCAAAUGUAAUGUGUAAGUAAUGGGAAGAGAAUAAACAGACAACCAAAAC